GACAGAGGUGGCUAGCGUUGUUCGGAUUCAUUGGGUGUAAAGGGUGCGUAGGCGGCUUAGAAAGUCAGAUGUGAAAGCCCACAGCUUAACUGUGGAAAUGCAUCUGAAACUUCUAGGCUUGAGUGCGAGAGAGGUGAAGGGAAUUCCCGGUGUAAGGGUGAAAUCUGCAGAGAUCGGGAGGAACACCAGUAGCGAAGGCGCUUCACUGGCUCGCAACUGACGCUGAGUGCACGAAGGCGUGGGGAGCAAACGGG
rnacentral:rRNA from 1 species